UACGUAGGGUCCAAGCGUUGUCCGGAAUCACUGGGCGUAAAGGGUGCGUAGGCGGUUCUUUAAGUCAGGGGUGAAAUCCUGGAGCUCAACUCCAGAACUGCCUUUGAUACUGAGGAUCUUGAGUUCGGGAGAGGUGAGUGGAACUGCGAGUGUAGAGGUGAAAUUCGUAGAUAUUCGCAAGAACACCAGUGGCGAAGGCGGCUCACUGGCCCGAUACUGACGCUGAGGCACGAAAGCGUGGGGAGCAAACAGG
rnacentral:rRNA from 1 species